AUACCUGGCCCAACUCCUCUUCUAAAAUAAACAACAACCCAGCCGACAACGUUAUCAACAACUAAAGCAACCCGUACCAACAAUGUUCCACAACAACUUCGACAACAACACAAUAAUUUCAACGCAACAACAGUAAAGCAAGUCAACAACGACAACUAUUAAUUUGGAUUUUCCUCAAAAUCGAUCGAUCUGGCCAAAACUUCCUAUAAAUACCCAUUGAAGAACAAACGAGAGAGGAGUCAAAUUUUUGGGAAAAAAUUUGAGGAUUUGGAAGGCGCAUGCUUCUAAUCCUACGCACCAAAAAUUCUAGAAGAAACAGACUCAAAAACUCGAUUCCGAUGGAAAAAAUUAAACGCCGAAGGAUCAGAAUUCAAACUCCGGUGGUGAAAUCUGUUGCCAAGAUUCAUUUGUCCUAGUUUGCUGCCCUCAAAAAGGUCAAAGGUGGUUGAUAUACACCAACAUAUGAUGCACAGUAAAGCUGAAAGCAAAUAUGCAACCAUCUACGUGUUGAUAUACAGUGAAUAUAUGGAAAAAACGUGAAGAAAAGGGGAUGCAAUAUACAGCUGAUAUACACACCUGAAAGAUGGUUGAAAAGGGCCAUUUAAAUAGGCCUAAAACCAAUGCUGUCCAGCUUUGAAAAUGGGCUAAUUAAUGCCCUAAUUUCAAUUCUUGUAUUAUUUUUUGCAGCUUAUUUGUCCUUUUCCCUAUUGUUUAUUUGUAUAAAUCAAUUAAUCUAGAUAAAUUCCCUAAGGUAUUGCUAUUUUAUUUUAUCUUAAUUUUCUUUUAUUUAAUUCAUAAUUUUUUCACCUAAUUCGUCUUGUCUAAAAAUGGAUUAAAUUGGU